AUGGACGAUGAUAUCACUGCAAUCGUUGUUGACAAUGGCUCUGGCGUGUGCAAGGCCGGCUUCGCAGGCAAUGAUAACCCCUAGGCCAUCUUCCCCUCCAUUGUAGGGCGCCCCAGGCACCAGGGCUUGAUGGUGGACAUGGGACAGAAGGACUACUAUGUGGGUGAUGAGGCCCAGAGCAAAAGAGACAUCCUGACCCUGAAGUACCCCAUCAAGCAUGGCAUUGUCACCAACUGGGACGACAUGGAGAAGAUCUGGCACCACAUUUUCUACAACCAGCUGCGUGUGGCUCCUGAGGAGCACCCCAUGCUGCUGACUGAGGCCCCCCUGAACCCCAAAGCCAAACGCCAAAAGAUGGCCCAGAUCAUGUUUGAGACCUUCAACACCCCAGGCAUGUAUGUAGCCAUCCUGGCACAGCUGUCCCUGUACGCCUCUGGCCGUACCAGUGGCAUUGUGAUCAACUCCGGUGAUGGGAUCACCCACACUGUGCCCAUCUAUGAGGGGUAUGCCGUCCCUUACGCCAUCCUGCGUCUGGACCUGGCUGGCCGGGACCUGACUGACUACCUCAUGAAGAUCCUCUCCGAGCGUGGCUACAGCUUCACCACCACAGCUGGGCGGGAAACGGUGUAUGACAUCAAGGAGAAGCUGUGCUAUGUCACUCUGGACUUUGAGCAGGAAAUGGCCAUGGCAGCCUCCAUCUCCACCCUGGAGCAGAGCUACGAGCUGCCCAAUGGCCAGGUCAUUACCAUUGGCAACGAGCGGUUCCGUUGCCCUGAGGCGCUCUUCCAGCCUUCCUUCCUGGGCAUGGAAUCUUAUGGCAUUCACGAAACUACCUUCAACUCCAUCAUGAAGUGUAAUGUGGACAUCCACAAAGACCUGUACGCCAACACAGUGCUGUCUGGUGGUACCACCAUGUACCCUGGCAUUGCUGACAGGAUGCAGAAGGAGAUCACGGCCCUGGCACCCAGCACGAUGAAGAUCAGGAUCAUUGCUCCUCCUGAGCGCAAGUACUCUGUGUGGAUCGGCGGCUCCAUCCUGGCCUCGCUGCCCAGCUUCCAGCAGAUGUGGAUCAGCAAGCAGCAGUAUGAGGAGUAUGGCCCCUCCAUCGCGUACGGCAAAAGCUUCUGGCGGACUAUGGCUUAGUUGCGUUACACCCUUUCUUGACAAAACCUAACUUGCCUAGCAAACAAAAUGAGAUUGGCAUGGCUUUAUUUGUUUUGUUUUGUUUUGUUUUGUUUUGGCUUGACUCAGGAUACUGGAAUGGUAAAGGUGACAGUAGUCAGUUGGAGCAAGCAUCCCCCAAAAUUCUACAAUGUGGCCGAGAACUUUGUACAUUGUUCUUUUUUUUAAUAGUCAUUCCAAAUAUCAUGAGAUGCAUUGUUACAGGAAUUCCCCUGUCCUCCCAAAAGCCACCCCACUUCUCUCUAAGGAGAAUGGCCCAGUCCUCUCCCAUGUCCACACGAGCAUUGUUUUUGUGUAAAUUAUGUAAUGAAAAAAAUUUAAAAAUUUUUUAAAUUUCAUCUCAGUAUUUUUAAAUUUUGUUUUAUUUUGAAAGAUUUUAGCCUCUGUGGCUACCCCAUUUUUGUCCCUCAACUUGAGAUGUAUGAAGGCUUUUGGUCUCCCUGGGAGUGGGUGGAGGCAGCUAGGGCUUACCUGUACACUGACUUAAGACGAGUUAAAUAAAA